rnacentral:rRNA from 1 species
ACAGAGGGGGCAAGCGUUAUUCGGAAUUAUUGGGCGUAAAGAGCGUGUAGGCGGCCGUACAGGUCAGCUGUGAAAACUCGAGGCUCAACCUCGAGACGUCGGUUGAAACCGUACGGCUAGAGUCCGGAAGAGGAGAGUGGAAUUCCCGGUGUAGCGGUGAAAUGCGCAGAUAUCGGGAAGAACACCCGUGGCGAAGGCGGCUCUCUGGGACGGUACUGACGCUGAGACGCGAAAGCGUGGGGAGCAAACAGGA